GGCCAGUGUGAGUACAGUGGUGUUAAGUGAACACAGCCAGUUACAGAUUUCCUUGUUGCUUCUCUACCCCCAAAGCUUCACUUUAUUAGCCUUAA
ensembl:misc_RNA Y_RNA Y RNA